CGCGAGCACUUGUGCUCGAGUGGCGAACGGGUGAGUAAUACAUAAGUAACCUGCCCUAGACAGGGGGAUAACUAUUGGAAACGAUAGCUAAGACCGCAUAGGUACGGACACUGCAUGGUGACCGUAUUAAAAGUGCCUCAAAGCACUGGUAGAGGAUGGACUUAUGGCGCAUUAGCUGGUUGGCGGGGUAACGGCCCACCAAGGCGACGAUGCGUAGCCGACCUGAGAGGGUGACCGGCCACACUGGGACUGAGACACGGCCCAGACUCCUACGGGAGGCAGCAGUAGGGAAUUUUCGGCAAUGGGGGAAACCCUGACCGAGCAACGCCGCGUGAAGGAAGAAGGUUUUCGGAUUGUAAACUUCUGUUAUAAAGGAAGAACGGCGGCUACAGGAAAUGGUAGCCGAGUGACGGUACUUUAUUAGAAAGCCACGGCUAACUACGUGCCAGCAGCCGCGGUAAUACGUAGGUGGCAAGCGUUAUCCGGAAUUAUUGGGCGUAAAGAGGGAGCAGGCGGCAGCAAGGGUCUGUGGUGAAAGCCUGAAGCUUAACUUCAGUAAGCCAUAGAAACCAGGCAGCUAGAGUGCAGGAGAGGAUCGUGGAAUUCCAUGUGUAGCGGUGAAAUGCGUAGAUAUAUGGAGGAACACCAGUGGCGAAGGCGACGAUCUGGCCUGCAACUGACGCUCAGUCCCGAAAGCGUGGGGAGCAAAUAGGAUUAGAUACCCUAGUAGUCCACGCCGUAAACGAUGAGUACUAAGUGUUGGAUGUCAAAGUUCAGUGCUGCAGUUAACGCAAUAAGUACUCCGCCUGAGUAGUACGUUCGCA
rnacentral:rRNA from 1 species